AGAGAGAGACAUGCGCGCAUAUCAAUAAGCGGAGGAAAAGAAACUAACAAGGAUUCCCUUAGUAACGGCGAGUGAAGCGGGAAGAGCUCAAAUUUGAAAUCUUCAAGGUUCUACCUUGACGAAUUGUAGUUUAUAGAAGUGUUUUCUGUUAGUGGAGUGGCAAAAGUUCUUUGGAAUAGGACAUCAUAGAGGGUGAGAAUCCCGUAUUUGGUCAUUCCUCCUAGCGUUGUGAUACACUUUCAACGAGUCGGAUUGUUUGGGAAUGCAGUCCAAUAUGGGUGGUAAAUUUCAUCUAAAGCUAAAUAUUGGCGAGAGACCGAUAGCGAACAAGUACCGUGAGGGAAAGAUGAAAAGAACUUUGAAAAGAGAGUUAAACAGUAUCGUGAAAUUGUCAAAAGGGAAGCGUUUGACACCAGUGUUGUUUUUCCGAAAAUCAAUUACGAAUGUUUUGUUUUUGAGGAGUUAUGGACUUCAUCGGCUUGCUCCUUUCUUUACGAAACUUUCUUAAUGCACUUUUCGGUUAACAAGUCAACAUCAAUUUCUUUUGCUGUAAAAGGGUAUGAGGAAGGUGGCUUUCUUUUCGGAGAAAGUGUUUAUAGCCUUGUGCCUCUGCAAUCGGAGAGAUUGAGGUCUGCAGCGUAGAUCCUUCGGGGUUAGAUACGUUUGUGCUAAGUUAUAGCUUUUCAUAGACAACUUGUUGACUAUGUUUAGUCUUGUAGCUUACUCGCUGACGCUAUUUUACCUACGCUUAGGAUGUUGAUAGUCACAGCGUGUAC
rnacentral:rRNA from 1 species